CCAAUCGAACCCGGAGAUAGCUGGUUCUCCUCGAAAUAGCUUUAGGGCUAGCCUCAUGCAAGUCUUACGGAGGUAGAGCACUGAAUUCCUAAGGGGGCGUCAAAGCUUACCAAGGGAUAUCAAACUCCGAAUGCCGUGUAGAUGGUGCAUGGGAGUCAGACUAUCCGAGAUAAGUUGGGUAGUCAAAAGGGAAAGAGCCCAGACCUACAGCUAAGGUCCCAAAAUGUGUGUUAAGUGGAAAAGGAUGUGGGAUUUCGAAGACAACUAGGAUGUUGGCUUAGAAGCAGCCAUCCAUUAAAAGAGUGCGUAAUAGCUCACUAGUCGAGAGGUCCUGCGCCGAAAAUGUCCGGGGCUGAAACACACUACCGAAGCUUAGGAAUUGAUGAAUGUCAAUUGGUAGAGGAGCAUUCUUACCGAGACGAAGCUGUACCGGAAGGAGCAGUGGAUUGGUAAGAAGAGAGAAUGCCGGAAUGAGUAGCGAGAGGAAGGUGAGAAUCCUUCCGGCCGAAUAUCUAAGGUUUCCAGAGUAAAGCUGAUCUGCUCUGGGUAAGUCGGGGCCUAAGGCGAGGUCGAAAGACGUAGUCGAUGGAUAACAGGUAAAGAUUCCUGUACUAUAUCAUAACAGAACUGUGGGGACGCAGACAGAGAGCAUAAGCCGGGAAUGGAAAAACCGGUACAAGCGAGGUAGGAGUACAUCAGGCAAAUCCGGUGUACAAUCUGAAGACGUGAUGUGGGGCGUAAAGCCGGAAGUAUGUGAGCUGGCUGCCAAGAAAAGCCGCUAUUGUUUAUGAUAUACCCGUACCGUAAACCGACACAGGUGGAUGAGGAGAGAAUCCUAAGGCCGACGGGAGAAGCAUUGUUAAGGAACUCGGCAAAAUGACUCCGUAACUUCGGGAGAAGGAGUGCCAUGUAAAAGUGGCCGCAGAGAAUUGGCCCAAGCAACUGUUUAGCAAAAACACAGGUCUAUGCAAAACCGAAAGGUGAGGUAUAUGGGCUGACGCCUGCCCGGUGCUGGAAGGUUAAGGGGAGAGGUUAGUCGUAAGGCGAAGCUUUGAACUUAAGCCCCAGUAAACGGCGGCCGUAACUAUAACGGUCCUAAGGUAGCGAAAUUCCUUGUCGGGUAAGUUCCGACCCGCACGAAAGGCGUAAUGAUUUGGGCACUGUCUCAACAAUGCACCCGGUGAAAUUGAAAUACCAGUGAAGAUGCUGGUUACCUGCGCCAGGACGGAAAGACCCCAUGGAGCUUUACUCCAGCUUGAUACUGGGACCCGGUAUUGCAGACGGUAUCGAUAAGCUUGAU
rnacentral:rRNA from 1 species